rnacentral:rRNA from 1 species
GAGAGGCGCUGCAUGGCUGUCGUCAGCUCGUGUUGUGAAAUGUUGGGUUAAGUCUCGCAACGAGCGCAACCCCUAUCGUCUGUUGCCAGCAUUAAGUUGGGCACUCUGGCGAGACUGCCUGGGUUAACCAGGAGGAAGGUGGGGAUGACGUCAAGUCCUCAUGGCCCUUAUGUCUAGGGCUACACGCGUAAUACAAUGGCGCGUACAGAGGGAAGCGAACUCGCAAGGGGGAGCAAAUCUCAAAAAGCGCGCCUCAGUUCGGAUUGAAGUCUGCAACUCGACUUCAUGAAGUUGGAAUCGCUAGUA